rnacentral:rRNA from 1 species
AGAGUUUGAUCCUGGCUCAGAAUGAACGCUGGCGGCGUGCCUAACACAUGCAAGUCGGAUGUGCCGCAAGGUGCAUGGCAGACGGGUGAGUAACGCGUGGGGAACCUACCUUUUCGUGGGGAAUAACAUUCCGAAAGGAAUGGUAAUACCGCAUAAGACCGACGGCUGGGAUGUUGUCGGUGAAAGCUGGGGAUCAGCAAUGACCUAGCGCGAGGAGAGGGUCCUGCGUCUGAUUAGCUAGUUGGUGGGGUAACGGCCUACCAAGGCAACGAUCAGUAGCCGGCCUGAGAGGGUGAUCGGCCACACUGGAACUGAGACACGGUCCAGACUCCUACGGGAGGCAGCAGUGGGGAAUUUUGCGCAAUGGACGAAAGUCUGACGCAGCAACGCCGCGUGGGUGAUGAAGGUCUUCGGAUUGUAAAACCCUGUCGUCGGGGACGAAGGUAGGGGGGUUAAUACCCCUUUUGCUUGACGGUACCCGGAGAGGAAGCCCCGGCUAACUCUGUGCCAGCAGCCGCGGUAAUACAGAGGGGGCAAGCGUUAUUCGGAAUUAUUGGGCGUAAAGGGCGCGUAGGCGGUAAUUUAAGUUGGAUGUGUAAUCCCCGAGCUCAACUUGGGAACUGCAUCCAAGACUGGAUUGCUAGAGUGCUGGAGAGGGUGGUGGAAUUCCUCGUGUAGCGGUGAAAUGCGUAGAGAUGAGGAGGAACACCAGUGGCGAAGGCGGCCACCUGGACAGUAACUGACGCUGAGGCGCGAAAGUGUGGGGAGCAAACAGGAUUAGAUACCCUGGUAGUCC